CUUUUUGUUAUUGUGAAGUAAACUUUUUUUUUUUCGAGUAAGAGUGUCCCUGAGCUGACAUCUGUGCCCAUCUUCCUCCGUUUUAUAUGUGGGACGCCACCACAGCAUGGCUUGACGAGCAGUGUGUAGGUCCACGCCCAGGAUCCGAACUGGCAACCUCUGGGCUGCCGAAGCAGAGUGUGCGAACUUAACCACUACACCACUGGGCUGUACCCUGAGGCGGCGUCUGUGACCACUCCCCUUGAUCCUGGGCAGACAUCUAUGACCAAGACAACCAAGAGAGUGUGGUGGAAGUGACACUAUGUGACAUCUGAGCCUAGGUCCUAAAAGACAGCAUGGCUUCUGCCUGGUUCUGUCUCUCGGAAUGCUCGCCUCUGGAGCCCAGCUGGCACGCGGUGAGGAAGCCCAGGCUGCGUGGAUAGUUAACACGGGAGCAUUCUGGCCAAGAGCCAGCAUCAACCGCCAGGCGUGUGAAGGAGGAAGCUUCACGAUGACCCCAGCUCCAGCCACCAUCUGACCUCAGCCGCGGGAGAGACCCCACGCGGCAACCGCCUGGCCGAGCCCAGCCAGCUUCCAGAAACACGAGUGCUGCCAGUACUCCAUUAUCACGGUUUAUGUCCCUAAGUUUAGGGAGGUUUGUACGCAACGACAGAUAACUGAUUCACCCCGUCUCCCCAAGGGAAACUCAGUGCUGGCUUCUAACACCGGCGAUGAUUUUUCCCGAUUCUUUAUAUAAAUGAAAUAAUAAGAUACUCAGUCUCUGGGUUUCCUCUUUUACCAACAUCUGUACGUGGGACCAUCUUAUGAGAGUUUAACGAGUGGGUACACAUUUUGGCUUUCCGGCGACCGUCCUUUGAGGGUGCUGCAGUGGACAUUGGUUAUAACGGCCUGACCAACAUCCGUUCCCUUUUCGGGUUACAGCACCCCAAAUUCUCCCCUGCUCUUGGUCUGCGUGUUUUGGGUGCAGCUGGGUCCACCUGCCAGCUCUCUUGGGGUGAGCUCAUAACCCAGGCCUGGCUAAUGAGAGUCUUCCAUCUUUCUGAUCACAAUGAUUGUUCAGAAAUGGGCCUGUGACCCAAGCCUGGCCAAUGAGAGCUAGGGGGCGCUAUUGCUGAGACAGUAGGGAAGGGGAACUCCUUUUAUGAUGUGGUUUCCCACCUGGCAGAAUGUAAGGCAGAGCUGCUAGGGGAGCGUUGUGAGAGGAGAGCUUGCCUGAGAAUGAAGACAACACAGAAAGGAGGACAGACCCGGGAGAUGGAGAUGAAGACAGAAUCGUAACUACCUCCUUGGCCCUGGAUCCACCUGUGCCUGAAGGCAAACUUACUUGUUUCAGUUAGAUGAGCCCACAAACAUCUUUUUUGCUUAAGCCACUUUGAAUUUGGGUUUUCUGUCAUUUGUAGCCAAAAGAGUCCCAGUAGGGCGCUAUGCACAUAGAUUUUCUCAAAAAGCCCCAGUCACCAUUUCCAUUUGCUGGACUCAAUCCUCGUGUGGAAAAGGCCAUUUAACAGAGCAGCAGUCCCCAUAGUGUGGAGUCCGGACCAGGAGCAUCAGCUUCGCCUGGGGCCUUGUGAGAAAUGCAAAUUCUUGGACCCAACUUUAGUAGAUGGGUCCAGCACGAGGGUUCAAGGAAGCCCCCGGGGGCUGUGAGCUAAAGUUGGAGCAUCACCGGAGGAGAGCGCGGUGGUGAGGAAAGAACACGAGCUCGAGGUUCGAGUGGCAUCUCCGCCUCUGCCUGGCUCUCUGGUUUUAAACGGGGAAACUGAGGCCCAGAGAGGUGAAUCACUCGCUCAAGUUCGCCCCUCUCGAAGUUGCAGAGACGGGACUCAUAUCCAUGCUGUCUGGCUCCCUGGUCCUCACCCUUAACCAUGACUGUGUCAUCCCAGAGGGAGCGAAGAGAGGAGGGGAUGGGCUUGUGGCUGGGAGCAGAGGGGAAGCGCUAACUUAACCCCAGCACCUCCUGACCCUUCUGAAGUGCAGAGCGGAAAGGACCAGCCCCCGGUCACUCUCUCCCGCUCCCUGCUGGGGUCCCCCUCCAGGUCCUCCUUCCCUGCUCUAACCACGAGGCUGCACACUGCCAAAGGAGAACCUAUGAUAAAAGCCAGGCGGCAGGUGGAGAGCGCACGAUGUUCUCUAACAUAACCUCCUCCCGGAGCCUCCCCUCGCCAACAGCACCCUUCUCCCCGAGCCCUGGGAAAGCGCCCGGCGUUCUCUUCCAGCAAGCAGGGUGAUGAAUCUUGUCUUAAAAUGAAGACAUAAUUCUCCCAUGAUGUAAAGACCACAUCAGACUACAGACGAGAGGGGGGAAGUUGAGGAAACAAGAAAACAGUCGAUUUAGACAUUACUGGGUUUGCGGGGUUUUGGAAGGAAGACCACAGAGGGAAAGUGUCAUCUCGUCACAUCGUAUCA
rnacentral:lncRNA from 1 species